CCCGCAAGGUCGGCCAUGGCGCGACCGAGCAGAGCAGGUACUAUCCUUGUCGUGGAUUGCUGCCUCACGUGUACGCAGAGCACAUCUUGGGUGUUUAGGUUGCAAGGUCAGUUUAGUCUA